GGAAGGAACUGUGGGAUUCUGGGCCUUGACAGAGAGCAUAACAGCCUAGCUGUCUGGCCCACAAAGCCCAGACUAGAAGUUCAAAGGCCACAGCUGCCUUUAGGAUAACCAAAUGCAUCGUGAGACUGUCUGAAGAGGCUACCAGUUUUCACACCCAAGCCCUGUGUCCUGUGACAGGGAGUGGGAGAGAGCUCUGGGACAGCUCCUCUUUCCUGCACUGCACUAAGAGGUAAGUUAGCUCAAAAGGGCACACGUUCACUGGGUACUCAGUAAUUCCUUAACCACCAAGUAAUUGCUCCCCAGAAGUUUUACACCAUGCACUUGUCAAUCAAAGCUGAAAAGUCUUUGUUUUUUUUUUUUCAGUCUGCUUUGUCCCUGAAGUCUCACUAGUCCCGAGUGUGAUUUGCCCCACUUCGGGUAGAGGAAGGAUCUUUUUAGCUUGCCUUUAGGAAAGCAGAGUUAUUGGGGAGGAAAACGUGAUUGUAGUCGUGUGUCUGACCGUGGUAAAUGCUGGCCUUGCCGUGCACUAGAGGCUGCCAUAAGCAGAGCAAACGACAUAAAGACAGCGCCCAAGAAAAUGUUCUGUAACAGCCUAAAACUUACCGA
rnacentral:lncRNA from 1 species